GGGCCCGCACAAGCGGCGGAGCAUGCGGCUUAAUUCGAUGCAACGCGAAGAACCUUACCUGGGCUUGACAUGCAGGGUGAAACCCGUGAAAGCGGGUGCUCUUCGGAGCCUGCACAGGUGGUGCAUGGCUGUCGUCAGCUCGUGCCGUGAGGUGUCGCCUUAAGUGGCGCAACGAGCGCAACCCCUGUCCUUAGUUGCCAGCGGGUAAUGCCGGGAACUCUAGGGAGACUGCCGGUGCCAAACCGGAGGAAGGUGGGGAUGACGUCAAGUCAUCAUGCCCCUUAUGUCCAGGGCUGCACGCAUGCUACAAUGCGCGGUACAGAGGGCUGCGAUCCCGUAAGGGGGAGCGAAUCCCAGAAAGCCGUGCUCAGUUCGGAUCGAGGUCUGCAACCCGACCUCGUGAAGUCGGAGUCGCUAGUAAUCGCAGAUCAGCAAUGCUGCGGUGAAUACGUUCCCGGGCCUUGUACACACCGCCCGUCACACCACGAAAGUGGGCAACACCCGAAGCCGGUGGCCCAACCCUUGUGGAGGGAGCCGUCGAAGGUGGGGCUCGCGAUUGGGACG
rnacentral:rRNA from 1 species